CGAUCCGAUUGGCCAAAGUUUCCAAACCGCGCCAUUUCGAGCAACAGAAGGACGCUGUCGACCAUGGGGAAGACAAAUUCGUCAGCAUUAACUUUGAGAACGUUAAAGAACUUACUAGAAAACCGAUAAAAGAUCAUCAUAUAGAAGGGGAAUUCAUCAUUGCAACAUUUGGCAAAGCUCGGAUCUCGGAUGACAGGCAACACCACAGCAAAAGAGGAAAGCAAACAAGACUGUUGUUGCUCGAAAGGAAAGGAAGCCACAAGUUCUUAAAGAGAAAGCAUAUAAAGGCUACACAAAGAAAUCAUGGCUGAGAAGUAUUCCGUUGCAGCAGUGCAAGUUCGUGAUAAAAUUAUGGACAUACAGAAGCCUUCCCGAAAUAGAGACUUUUUUGACAAGUUGUGUACUUCCCUGUGUACUCGCCUGUGGUGAUCUCAACUAGCAAGAAGUUGUAUUAUACACAUGUAAAGAACAGUUUGUAAGCUCUUAAACCAUUGUACAGAAUUUUGGUAGGUAUUUAGGACACAUUUUGUUGUUGUUGUUUAAGACAGAAGUGUAUAAAAGCAUCCUUGUAGGAAAUUUGGAUGUAAUGAUUUUUUUGGAGUUAUGCUCAUGUUAAAAUCAAAUGAAGUG